rnacentral:lncRNA from 1 species
UAUGAUAUGAUCUUUCUAAUUUAAAUGCCAAAUUAGAGUUUUGACCCCAAUUUUACGGUUCACUGAACAUAGAAAAUGAUAGUGCAAAUUUCAGGUUAAAGUUUUUGGUCAAGGUAGUUUUUGAUGAAGUUGAAGUCCAAUCAACUUGAAACUUAGUAACAUGUGCCCUAUGAUAUGAUCUUUCUAAUUUAAAUGCCAAGUUAGAGUUUUGACCCCAAUUUUACGGUUCACUGAACAUAGAAAAUGAUAGUGCAAAUUUCAGGUUAAAGUUUUUGGCUUCAGGUUAAAGUUUUUGGUCAAAGUAGUUUUUGAUGAAGUUG